CCUACGGGAGGCAGCAGUGGGGAAUUUUGGACAAUGGGGGAAACCCUGAUCCAGCCAUUCCGCGUGAGUGAAGAAGGCCUUCGGGUUGUAAACCUCUUUUCUGGGGGACGAGACCAGGACGGUACCUCAGGAAUAAGUCUCGGCUAACUACGUGCCAGCAGCCGCGGUAAGACGUAGGAGGCGAGCGUUAUCCGGAUUUACUGGGCGUAAAGCGCACGCAGGCGGCUUCGUUAGUCGGAUGUGAAAGCUCCUGGCUUAACUGGGAGAGGCCAUUCGAUACUGCGGGGCUUGAGGUUGGAAGAGGGGUGUGAAAUUCCCGGUGUAGGGGGGGA
rnacentral:rRNA from 1 species